rnacentral:siRNA from 1 species
AUCGGCUGAUCCGGUAAGCCUCGG